rnacentral:rRNA from 1 species
ACAAAGGUUUGGUCCUAGCCUUAUUAUCAACUGUUUCUCAACUUACACAUGCAAGUAUCAGCACACCCGUGAGAACGCCCUUUAAAUCUUACCCAGAUAAAGGAGCUGGUAUCAGGCACAAACCCUCCGCCCACAACACCUAGUCUCACCACACCCUCAAGGGUAAUCAGCAGUGAUUAAUUUUGCGUAUGAGCGUCAGCUUGACUCAGUUAGAGAAAAGAGGGCCGGCUAACCCGGUGCCAGCCGCCGCGGCUACACCGUGGGGCUCGAGUUGAUAGUCAUCGGCGUUAAGCGUGAUUAAAGUUAUUACAAAUUAAGGUUAAAUUAAUACUUAGUAGUUUUAUGCUUGUUAUUAAGAAAUCCACAAACGAAAGUUACCCUAAUUAUUAUGCUUGAAUACACGACAGCUAGGAAAACAAACUGGGAUUAGAUACCCCACUAUGCCUAGCCGUAAACAAUUAAUUUACACCAAUAAGCGCCAGGGAAUUACGAGCAAUGCUUAAAACCCAAAGGAUUUGACGGUGUCCCACCCCACUAGAGGAGCCUGUUCUAUAAUCGAUGAUCCCCGAUAUACCCGACCAUUUCUCGCUUAUCAGUCUGUAUACCUCCGUCGAAAGCUU